rnacentral:lncRNA from 1 species
UCUGUAGCUGUUUUCUCAUUUGUCAGUUCCAAAAGGAAUUGAAAACUGGAGGUUUCUGCCUAGUUUCCUUCCUCAUUCUCACAGCCUUGGUUAUUGUCUCCACCAACUCGGUUCAUUGACCUACAAAUGCCAGCUUCUCUUGAAUGUUUUCCAUCUCUUUCCCAGACCAUCCACAGCUGGCAGCCAAGCUUUGCAAGUUUUAUUUCCGAAAUGCUUCUCAACUUCUUUCUAGGUACAGAAGACCACCUGCACCAUCUCUUGCUGGGUGAGAGCUACUCUCUGCAGACGUAGUCACAGCUGGUAUUUCACCAGCAGAUGCCAUGAUUCAAUUCCACCAUAAUGACAUUGGGUAGUCUUUGUCAACUCUCCUCCUUGUGAGGAGGAUGUAAAAACACUUCAGAAACAUACUGGAAAUCUUCAUGAGUAGGUCACAUGAUGAUCAACUCUGUGGUUGGAAGUCAGGAAUCUUCAAAGGAGUGGGAUGAUUCUGCAAGAACUCCCACAUUCUUAGUGAUUGCACAGUACAGUCUGGUCAACCCUCCUGAAAAGGACAGCUGCUUCAUCUCGAUAAACCCAUCGUCAUAAAUCACACGAUGGAAUAUUACACAGCAAUGACAAGGAAUGAACAACGGGCCAUAAAACCACAUGAGUAAAGUUCAAAAACAUUCUGUGGAGUUGAAAAGUACAUGGUGUAGGAGUCAAUUUAUGAAAUUCAAGAACAUGUAGAGCAUGGUAUGACAGAAGUCAGCAUAAUGAAUACUUCUGCUGUGAAGAUUGACUGGGGAAAAGGAUGGAAAGACUUUCUGAGUGACAGAAACAGUUUGUAUCUUUAUCUCAUUGAAAGUCAGACAGCUAAAAAUUGACCUGGAUGCACACUUCAGAUUUCCACAUUGCACUGUAUUUACAUAACACUUCAAUUUUUAAAGGCAAAGGAAAGAAGAUGGUGACCCCUGUGGUAGUAGUGGAUGUCUCUCAGUGGUCUGAAUUCUAGAGAUUUUCCUGGCAUUAGGAAAAAAAUGCAGGAUUUUUAACACAUACGGCCAAGAGAAGUUGAAAAACAUAGCUAAAAUGCGCUUAAAACAAAACAACACUAAACAUUAGCAUAGGUUUUGUACAUCCUAGUUCCUCUCCCUCUCCUUCUCUUUCUCUCUUUUGUUCAAAUGCUGGAAGUGAACAACAAUUGUUUUGAUAUUAAAAUAACUACACAGUGUCAACAAUGUUUCCUUCAUUGAGUUUUGAGGCUACAGCAAUGACAAGAAAAAAUGGACUUUCACGUUAAGAAUCUCACCAACUAAAAGGGAGCUAUAGCAUCUUUUAUAAUAUUAAGUUGCAUUUGCUGACUGCUACCUAUUUACACUCAACUAUACACUUACAAAGUUCUACCUGCUUUUUUGUAUUAACUAUUUUAACACUCACAACCAACAUUGAAGGAGUUAAAUAUCUUGCCUCAAAUCAAAGAAUUAAUAAAUGGUAAAGGCAAUAUUUGAAGCAGACAGUGUAUUUCUGGAGACUAUUCUCUCACCCACUACAUGCUAUUAACAUUCAACCAUGCUAUGAGAUAAACAAAGAAGUUCUCUCCUGGUUUGACUUCUGUGGCAUCUGUUUCUUUUCUUUUUUUUUUUUAACCUUUCCCCUUCUCUUCUCUACUUUUUACUUUCCUCUCCUGAUUCACUUUCAUCUGCCUGCCUGUUGAAUAUCAAUGUUCCACAGUUUAUUUCCUCGGCCUUAGUUUCUUCAAAUUCUGGAAUUCCAUCCAGAAAGAAACAUCAUUUAUUGCCAGUUUCAGUCACCAUAUGUCUUUCUUUCUGGGGAACACAUCUACCUGCAUUUCCAGAGGCAAUUUCAACUUAUCUGGUCUGUCAUUUAACUCUAUAUCUUUCUUCCAAAGCUUGUUUCUCCUACCACGAAAGUUGGACCUUUCACUCAACUUGAAGUCUUGUCAGCACCUUUGACCAGCUUUACACCCUAAUCCUCCACAACAAAUGCACAGUGACCUCCUGUCUCUCAUACCCUUCCCCUCCACUCCCCUAACAUUACCUUGGCUCAGCUCUCAUCUCUUACCUGAAUUGUUGUAACAUCCCCCAGUUUCACCCAUCCAAAUACAUUUCCACACUGUGGAGAACACACAGGAAGCUUUCUAAAUUUCAAAUGUGUUCAUUCUACUCCCUUGCUUUAAAACCUACAUUUCCCACAGGAUAAAGUCCACAUUUUAUGGCAUGAAAACCUUUGCCAUCGUGCCCAGAUGUUAAUGGUGGAAGUGCCAGCCUAGGCAAACCUAGGCAGGUACACUAGGUUGGAAACCGUGUCAGGAGCAAUGUAGGAAUGAGGAUUAAAGCCACAGGUAAAGUCAAGUCAGAGGUCUUUGGAAAGUCUUUAUGAAAAUGGAUGAGGUGGAGGCUUGGUACUGACACUUUGAAAUGUUUACUUGCAUCGUUCGUUCAUCAUUCUCAGGAAAAGCGGCAACCUGCAGCUGGGUUCUAAAUAAGAUUUCCAGUUUCGUCCAGUCCAUCCCAGAUGCAACCAGGUGCUCUCUACCUUCAGAGGAAAGAAAUAUCUAGUCCAUCAAUCACUGCCCCCCUUCCAAUAUUCUAGGGUAUGCCCUAUUUUCCCAUUAGUUCUUGGUUUAGGCUACUUCUUUCCCCUGCCCUUGGCUUCCUUUGUGUCGGGAGAAUUGGCUCACCAAAUUCCACUUUUCCUACUGUGAUUUUAUUAUAAAGAUAGAAAAAGCUAAGUGUUCAUGUUCCCAGCCUUCAGUGUAGCUUCUGACAGUCACGUAACAUAAAUGUGCUCAGUCCAGCAUUCACAGAACUCUGCUGAUGCCUCUCUUUCUAUUCCUUCUUCCUGCUUGGAAUGCAGAUGUGAUGUUAGAAUUGGAUCGGAGAAAUUGUGACUCUUGGGGCCAUGAACCCACCCACUUCACUCAGAGUUAUGGGAAGCUUAGUAUGAAUGUGCUACAUUGACCCUGGCUCAGCUGCCUCUGGGCUCCCUGGGAAGUGAGGGAAGCAAAGCCAUAUUUGUUAAGGGGAAAGUUGGAGUCGCUCUCGGCUCCACACAGCUGAAAGCAUUAUUAACUGAUACAGCCUUUUUCAUUCAUAAAUUAUAAGGAAGGCAUAAUUGUCCUUACUUCACAGACAUCUCAUAGAAUAGAAAAGCUAAGUAAACUAGUUUAUCUUGGAACAAGAUUGGAAACUUCUUAUCUGAAACUAAAGAGGUCAUUUUCCAAUCUAAGGUCAGUCCCAGUGCAAAGACCAGCAGUUGUUUUUGUUCUCUCUUUUGGAGAUAAGGAAAUUGUGGCACACAGAAGCUUUGAGUCUUGCAAGUAUCAUAAACCACGUUCUUUCUCUGCCUCUCUUCUUAAUCUACUUAUUUGCCGUACCAUUC